rnacentral:sRNA from 1 species
GGAACGGGCCUUUCAGGCAUCCUCUCCCAAAAACUUUCCAAGGCCGGUCCUCGCGACCGGCCUUUUUUUUUGGCCUAC